UACGGGGGGAGCAAGCGUUGUUCGGAAUUACUGGGCGUAAAGGGGGUCUAGGCGGCCUUGUAAGUCGGGGGUGAAAUCCACUGGCUCAACCAGUGACGUGCCUUCGAAACUGCUAGGCUUGAGUAUGGCAGAGGAGAGCGGAAUUCCAGGUGUAGCGGUGAAAUGCGUAGAUAUCUGGAAGAACACCGGUGGCGUAGGCGGCUCUCUGGGCCAAUACUGACGCUGAAGCACGAAAGCCAGGGGAGCAAACGGG
rnacentral:rRNA from 1 species